GCUGGCGGCAGGCUUAACACAUGCAAGUCGAACGCGUGUAGCAAUACACGAGUGGCGCACGGGUGAGUAGCGCGUGGAUAUCUGCCUUUUGGUUCGGAAUAACCCCGGGAAACUGGGGCUAAUACCGAAUGGUUCCUACGGGAUAAAGAUUUAUCGCCAAAAGAUGAGUCCGCGUCCGAUUAGCUAGUUGGUGAGGUAACGGCUCACCAAGGCGACGAUCGGUAGCUGGUCUGAGAGGACGAUCAGCCACACUGGGACUGAGACACGGCCCAGACUCCUACGGGAGGCAGCAGUGGGGAAUAUUGGACAAUGGGGGCAACCCUGAUCCAGCCAUGCCGCGUGAGUGAUGAAGGCCUUCGGGUUGUAAAGCUCUUUUGGCGGGGACGAUGAUGACGGUACCCGCAGAAUAAGCCCCGGCUAACUUCGUGCCAGCAGCCGCGGUAAGACGAAGGGGGCUAGCGUUGUUCGGAAUUACUGGGCGUAAAGCGCGUGUAGGCGGUUGUCCAAGUUGGAUGUGAAAGCCUUGAGCUUAACUCAAGAAAUGCAUUCAGGACUGGGCGACUAGAGGACCGGAGAGGAUAGU
rnacentral:rRNA from 1 species